CCCUUUCCGGGCUCUGCAGAUGAGCCCUGGCAGCCCUCCCCUGGCCGUCUGGACCCAGGCCUGCCUGUCUUGGUGCAUUUUAGGACAUUAAGUCUGGCUGGAACCUGAGAGCGUCAGCCAUGCGAGACGAGGUCUUGCCACGUUGCCCGCGCUGGUCUCGAACUCCUGGACUGACUCAAGCAAUCCUCCUGCCUCAGCCUCCCAAAGUGCUGGGAUUAAAAUGACGGGAUUUCACCAUGUUGGCUGGUGUUGAACUCCUGACCUCAAGUGAUCCACCCACCUCGGCCUCCUAAAGUGCUGGGAUUACAGGUGCCCCUGGCUUCAGAGAAUCACACUUCUCCGUGCCACUAAAUUCAGACACCACCAUGGACUGCAAAUUUGAGCAGAAGUGAGGUGUGUCACUUGCUAUCAGAAGCCUGGGUCAUGGUUGCACUUGGAGAACAAAAUUUUUUGAAAAUAUUUAAGUUCUGGGAUACAUCUGCAGAACGUGCAGUGACGGGAUUUCACCAUGUUGGCUGGUGUUGAACUCCUGACCUCAAGUGAUCCACCCACCUCGGCCUCCUAAAGUGCUGGGAUUACAGAAUUCAAGGUCCCUGAUAAGACAUCUUUGAGGUCAGGCAUAAAUCAUCACUUCACAUCUUCACGGCAAUGCAAUGAAGACAAGUAGGUGCCUCCUCGGGUCUGUCUAACAAGGAGCAAAGCCUGGCCUCCCACCAGCAUCCAGGCAAUAGUGGAUUCCCUUUCCUUAGAUGUCAGAAAAGAAACAGAUGCUCCUGCAGGUGAAAUGAGCUUUGGUCCACGGUGUAACACAGGCUGUGCAGAAAAUCAAAGAGGAAUCGACCCAGAAGUUUCCCCAGGACAAAUCCUUCAGGGG